rnacentral:rRNA from 1 species
CAGUAGCCACGGUAAUACGGAGGGUGCAAGCGUUAAUCGGAAUUACUGGGCGUAAAGCGCACGCAGGCGGUCUGUCAAGUCGGAUGUGAAAUCCCCGGGCUCAACCUGGGAACUGCAUUCGAAACUGGCAGGCUAGAGUCUUGUAGAGGGGGGUAGAAUUCCAGGUGUAGCGGUGAAAUGCGUAGAGAUCUGGAGGAAUACCGGUGGCGAAGGCGGCCCCCUGGACAAAGACUGACGCUCAGGUGCGAAAGCGUGGGGAGCAAACAGGAUUAGAUACCCGGGUAGUCCCUGUCUCUUAUAC